AGUCGAGCGCACCCUUCGGGGCGAGCGGCGGACGGGUUAGUAACGCGUGGGAACAUACCCUUUUCUAUGGAAUAGCCUUUGGAAACGAAGAGUAAUACCAUAUACGCCCUUCGGGGGAAAGAUUUAUCGGAGAGGGAUUGGCCCGCGUAAGAUUAGAUAGUUGGUGGGGUAAUGGCCUACCAAGUCUACGAUCUUUAGCUGGUUUUAGAGGAUGAUCAGCAACACUGGGACUGAGACACGGCCCAGACUCCUACGGGAGGCAGCAGUGGGGAAUAUUCGGCAAUGGGGGCAACCCUGACCGAGCCAUGCCGCGUGUGUGAUGAAGGCCCUAGGGUUGUAAAGCACUUUCAACGGUGAAGAUAAUGACGGUAACCGUAGAAGAAGCUCCGGCUAACUUCGUGCCAGCAGCCGCGGUAAUACGAAGGGAGCUAGCGUUGUUCGGAAUUACUGGGCGUAAAGCGCGCGUAGGCGGACUGAUCAGUCAGGGGUGAAAUCCCGGGGCUCAACCCCGGAACUGCCUUUGAUACUGUCAGUCUAGAGUCCGGAAGAGGUGAAUGGAACUCCUAGUGUAGAGGUGAAAUUCGUAGAUAUUAGUGAAGAACACCAGUGGCGAAGGCGA
rnacentral:rRNA from 1 species